AACCUAUGGUGAGGGCACCUUCUCAAUAAAUCAUUAUACCUCUCCAAUGCAUCGUAUGGGGUUUCUAAGUCCAUUUUCACAAAGGAAGAGAUAUCAUUACUCAAUUU
rfam:Gossypium arboreum cultivar AKA8401 contig_11680_5, whole genome shotgun sequence.